GGGGAAUUUUGGACAAUGGGCGCAAGCCUGAUCCAGCCAUGCCGCGUGCAGGAUGAAGGCCUUCGGGUUGUAAACUGCUUUUGUACGGAACGAAAAGACUCCUUCUAAUAAAGGGGGUUCAUGACGGUACCGUAAGAAUAAGCACCGGCUAACUACGUGCCAGCAGCCGCGGUAAUACGUAGGGUGCGAGCGUUAAUCGGAAUUACUGGGCGUAAAGCGUGCGCGGGCGGUGAUGUAAGACAGAUGUGAAAUCCCCGGGCUCAACCUGGGAACUGCAUUUGUGACUGCAUCGCUGGAGUGCGGCAGAGGGGGAUGGAAUUCCGCGUGUAGCAGUGAAAUGCGUAGAUAUGCGGAGGAACACCGAUGGCGAAGGCAAUCCCCUGGGCCUGCACUGACGCUCAUGCACGAAAGCGUGGGGAACAAAC
rnacentral:rRNA from 1 species